rnacentral:pre_miRNA from 1 species
CAAAUACUCCCUCCGUCCGGAAAUACAUGUCAUCAAAAUGGAUAAAAAGAGAUGUAUCUAAAACUAAAAUACGUCUAGAUACAUUUCCUUUUAUCCAUUUUGAUGACUAGUAUUUUCGGACAGAGGGAGUAGAAA